rnacentral:rRNA from 1 species
GGGGGGGGGGGGGGGGGGGGGGGGGGGGGGGGGGGCGGGGGGGGGCUGCGGGGGUGGGGGCGGAGGGGUGCGGAGCGCGGGGGAACGUGCCCUUAGGGUCGGAAUGACUCCCGGAAAGGGGUGCUAAUACCGGAUAGUGUCUUCGGGCGAAAGAUUUAUCGCCUUUGGAUGGGCCCGCGUUGGAUUAGCUAGUUGGUAGGGUAAAAGCCUACCAAGGCGACGAUCCAUAGCUGGUCUGAGAGGAUGAUCAGCCACACUGGGACUGAGACACGGCCCAGACUCCUACGGGAGGCAGCAGUGGGGAAUAUUGGACAAUGGGCGAAAGCCUGAUCCAGCAAUGCCGCGUGAGUGAUGAAGGCCUUAGGGUUGUAAAGCUCUUUUACCCGGGAUGAUAAUGACAGUACCGGGAGAAUAAGCCCCGGCUAACUCCGUG